ensembl:snRNA U6 U6 spliceosomal RNA
GCCCCCUUGCUUUGCGGUACAUACACCAACACUGGAAUGAGGCCGAGAGAUUAGCGUGGCCCCUGUGGGAGGAGAACACGAAAAUUCAUGAAGCGUUUCAUAUGUUU